rnacentral:rRNA from 1 species
AGUGAACGCUGGCGGUAGGCCUAACACAUGCAAGUCGAACGGCAGCACAGUAAGAGCUUGCUCUUACGGGUGGCGAGUGGCGGACGGGUGAGGAAUAUAUCGGAAUCUACUUUUUCGUGGGGGAUAACGUAGGGAGACUUACGCUAAUACCGCAUACGACCUACGGGUGAAAGCAGGGGAUCUUCGGACCUUGCGCGAUUGAAUGCGCCGAUGUCGGAUUAGCUAGUUGGGGGGGUAAAGGCCCACCAAGGCGACGAUCCGUAGCUGGUCUGAGAGGACGAUCAGCGACACGAGAACUGAGACACGGUCCAGACUCCUACGGGAGGCAGCAGUGGGGAAUAUUGGACAAUGGGCGCAAGCCUGAUCCAGCCAUACCGCGUGGGUGAAGAAGGCCUUCGGGUUGUAAAGCCCUUUUGUUGGGAAAGAAAAGCAGCAGGUUAAUACCCCGCUGUUCUGACGGUACCCAAAGAAGAAGCACCGGCUAACUUCGUG